AUAGUACAAAAAUAUUUGGAAGAAGAAAACAAAAGGAAGAAAUAAACUGUUUAUGCAAUUGCGUAGCAGGGGGAGGAAAGAAGACGAUGGGCUAAAGAGAAGAAGAAAGAAGAAAGGAAAUUGGAAACCUAAAUUGUAAAUUGUGUGAGUGAGAAGAAGAUAGGGUGAAAGAAUGAAGAUAGUGAGCUACAACGUGAAUGGCCUGAGACAGCGCAUAUCGCAGUUCGGGUCGCUCAGGAAUCUGCUAAAUUCAUUCGACGCCGACAUCCUUUGCUUUCAGGAGACCAAACUUCGGAGACAGGAACUUACGGCGGACUUGAUCAUGGCGGACGGUUACGAAUCCUUCUUUUCCUGCACCCGCACCUCCCAGAAGGGCCGAACUGGCUAUUCCGGCGUUAUUACGUUUUGUCGUGUAAAAUCAGCAUUUUCUAGUAAUGAAGUGGCAUUGCCACUAGCAGCAGAGGAAGGCUUUACUGGACUUCUGGAAAACUCUCAAACUAGCAAAGAUGAAUUGCCGUUCAUGACAGAUGAUCUAAAGGAAUUUUCUAAAGAUGAGCUUAUAAGUCUUGAUAAUGAGGGGCGAUGCAUUAUCACGGAUCACACUCACUUUGUUCUUUUCAAUGUGUAUGGGCCUCGAGCUGCAAGUGAUGACACCGAGAGGAUUCAGUUUAAGAAAAAAUUUUACAGCGUAUUACAGAAAAGAUGGGAGUCUCUCCUGCAUCAAGGAAGGAGAGUAUGUGUUGUUGGUGAUCUCAAUAUUGCCCCAUUUGCAAUUGAUCGAUGUGAUGCAGGAGCUGAUUUUGGAAAUAAUGAAUUUAGAAAAUGGUUCAAAUCAAUGUUAAUUGAAAAUGGCGGUCAAUUUUGUGAUGCCUUCAGAGCUAAACAUCCUGACAGAAGGGAAGCAUACACCUGUUGGUCGCAAAAUACAGGUGCUGAAGUAUUCAACUUUGGGAGUAGAAUUGACCAUAUACUGUUUGCUGGUUCAUGCCUACAUGAAUCAGAUGACCUGCAAUGCCAUAGUUUUGUAAGAUGUCAUGUCAAGGAAUGUGACAUUCUGACACAGUACAAACGGUGUAAGCCUGAAAGCACACCAAGUGCCCAUAGGUGGAAGGAAGGGCGCAGCAUUAAACUGGAAGGAUCUGAUCAUGCUCCAGUUUUUGUGUCUUUACAUGAAAUUUCUGAGGUCUCUCUGCACAGUACUCCUUCCUUAUCUUCUAGAUAUGUUCCCAUGGUUCAUGGCAUACAGCAAACUCUGGUGUCAGUGUUGAUGAAAAGGAAAGUUUCUGAACAAAUUAAAUCAUGUAAGAUGGCACACGAAGACAUUGCAAUGCAUAGUACUUGUGAGGGAGAAGAACCAGUUAACAGAGCUGCUUCAUCUGCAACCAGUCCAAAUGAAUGUCGAUUCCUUCCAAGACAGGUUUAUAAAGGUAGCAUUUUGAAACCAAAUGAACUUUCCAGAGGUUCUUCUCAGGAGGCUGUUUCUAAAUCAGUGAAUGAAAGUGAAGAAUCAAUAAUGCACAAGUGUAAAAAACCCAACAAAAAAGCUAGAAAUAGUCAAUGGUCCCAGCUCUCACUUCGGUCAUUUUUCCAGAAAAGUACAAAUCUUGACACUGACGUCAAUGGCUCCUCGUAUACUGAUUGCUCAAACAGUCAGGAUGAACUUUCUCAACCCAACCCUCAGUUACACGAAACUCCUACAGUGUCUGAUCACAGUAUCAGUCCCAAGCAAUGUUCGUUGGAUACUGAUGCACGUGAUCAGGAUUUAGCUGGGCCAAAGGAUAGUUCCACAAAGGAAGAAAAGAGUAAUGUGGCUUCAUUAGAGUGGCAAAGAAUACAACAGUUGAUGCAGAAUAGUAUACCUAUUUGCAAGGGCCAUAAGGAACCGUGUAUUGCUCGGGUGGUGAAGAAACAAGGACCAAAUUUUGGCCGCAGAUUCUAUGUUUGUGCUCGUGCUGAGGUUUGGGGGGGCUCAACUCAAUCCAUCUGUCAAUCUAAGGACUUCAGUCACCUUUUAAAAGGCCCUGCGUCUAAUCCUGAAGCAAACUGCGGUUACUUUGGAUGGGCUUCUUCAAAGUCUAGGAAUAAAUAAUGGAAGAGAAUGGAUGAUUCAUAAACCCGCCUUCAUCCAACUUUCUUUCAUAACGACUAUAUGGAGCUGAAAUACCAGUUUUGCAUGAUUAUGAUCAUUACUAAGUUCCGUCAAGGAAUGUCCACCCUCAAGACAAGUAUUCUUGUUCUGUAAAAUCAGCUGUUGCAACCAUAUAUGUAAAAGAGAUGAAGCGUUAACUUGUAGGUGGGGUUUGGAUUUGGCAGAAAACUGUUUGAUAAACACUGAAACUGAUUCUCAAGUUUUGUCGAUGGAAGAAGAAACCAACUUCGCCAGGAGCUUAUUCAUCAAACACUAUCCAUGACUGCAGAAUCACUGCUACAGAAAUCCAUAGCCAGGUGCAUUCUUCUUUUGGCUCGUUGUACAGUAAUUGUUAAAAUGUUGUAAGAUUGUCUUUAAUUUGGACGGAAAAAUUUAUAUAUUUCAUCAAUUAUUGAAAUAAACUUGUUAUAUUUCCUCUUAUUUCAUAUAAAAAAAAAAAUAACUAAUUUC